GCUUGCUUUGGCAACACGCAUACUAAAAUUGGAACAAUAUAGAGACUAGCUUGGCCCCUGAGCAAGGAUGACACACAAAUUUGUGAAGUGUUCCAUAUUUCU